CAAGUCGAGCGAACCUGAGGGAGCUUGCUCCCAAAGGUUAGCGGCGGACGGGUGAGUAACACGUGGGCAACCUGCCUGUAAGACUGGGAUAACUUCGGGAAACCGGAGCUAAUACCGGAUAACUUCUUUCCCUGCAUGGGGAAAGGUUAAAAGACGGUUCUGCUGUCACUUACAGAUGGGCCCGCGGCGCAUUAGCUAGUUGGUGAGGUAACGGCUCACCAAGGCGACGAUGCGUAGCCGACCUGAGAGGGUGAUCGGCCACACUGGGACUGAGACACGGCCCAGACUCCUACGGGAGGCAGCAGUAGGGAAUCUUCCGCAAUGGACGAAAGUCUGACGGAGCAACGCCGCGUGAGUGAAGAAGGUUUUCGGAUCGUAAAACUCUGUUAUCAGGGAAGAACAAGUACCGUGUAACUAACGGUACCGUGACGGUACCUGACCAGAAAGCCACGGCUAACUACGUGCCAGCAGCCGCGGUAAUACGUAGGUGGCAAGCGUUGUCCGGAAUUAUUGGGCGUAAAGCGCGCGCAGGCGGUCUCUUAAGUCUGAUGUGAAAUCUCGCGGCUCAACCGUGAGCGGUCAUUGGAAACUGGGAGACUUGAGUGCAGAAGAGAAGAGCGGAAUUCCACGUGUAGCGGUGAAAUGCGUAGAGAUGUGGAGGAACACCAGUGGCGAAGGCGGCUCUUUGGUCUGUAACUGACGCUGAGGCGCGAAAGCGUGGGGAGCGAACAGGAUUAGAUACCCUGGUAGUCCACGCCGUAAACGAUGAGUGCUAAGUGUUAGAGGGUUUCCGCCCUUUAGUGCUGCAGCAAACGCAUUAAGCACUCCGCCUGGGGAGUACGGCCGCAAGGCUGAAACUCAAAGGAAUUGACGGGGGCCCGCACAAGCGGUGGA
rnacentral:rRNA from 1 species